rnacentral:rRNA from 1 species
GACGUAGGGCGCGAGCGUUGUCCGGAUUUAUUGGGCGUAAAGAGCUCGUAGGCGGCUCGUUGCGUCGGCUGUGAAAACCCGCAGCUCAACUGUGGGCUUGCAGCCGAUACGGGCGGGCUGGGAUUCGGUAGGGGAGACUGGAAUUCCUGGUGUAGCGGUGAAAUGCGCAGAUAUCAGGAGGAACACCAGUGGCGAAGGCGGCUCACUGGCCCGGUACUGACGCUCGAUGAUGCGAAAGCGUGGGGAGCAACAGG